rnacentral:lncRNA from 10 species
UGACUCUCUUUUCAGACUCAGCCCGCCUGCACCCAGGCGAAAUAAACAGCCUUGUUGCUCACACAAAGCCUGUUUGGUGGUCUCUUCACACAGACGCCCAUGAAAUUUGGUGCAGUGACUGGGAUCGGGGGACCUCCCUUGGGAGAUCAAUCCCCUGUCCUCCUGCUCUUUGCUCCGUGAAAAAGAUCUACCUACGACCUCAGGUCCUCAGACCCACCAGCCCAAGGAACAUCUCACCAAUUUUAAAUCGGUAGGUCCAGAUUCAUCAUUACUGCUUUGACUUUGAAGACGUUGGAUCAAUUAACAUAAUCAACUGUUACCUGUUACAUUCCAAGCCAGGACAUUAAAGUAGUAUGCCUCCCUUCCAUCAAUGCUCCAGUUGCAGCCAAUAUGUCCAUUGAAACUAACUUAACUCGCUGGAACUACUCUCUAAAUAAAUUCACCAUUUUGGUUCAAAGUGCUACAAACAAAUUCAGUGCUUUCAUUCCCCGUACAUGGAUCCGACUUUAACUGCACAAGGACAGAAGGAGAAGCACAUAUUAUGAGGUGGCAGUGGACAUGUGGGAAUUUGAAAGAAAGUGCUUCAGACUAUUUUUAAACUGAAAUGUAUCCCACUGGGACCGCAAUUGCCCAGUGCCGACUAUUCAU